UUUUAAAGUGGGAGAACUUGUACAAUUGGUGGCUGACUAAAUACUUUUUUGCCCCACUGUAAUGUAAUGUUAUUUAUUUAUAUAUAUAUAUAUAUAUAUAUAUAUAUAUAUAUAUAUAUAUAUAUAUAAAGCUAUUAUUAUGCAUGCGCACACUUCAUUUCAGCAUUCUCGAAGGCCAACGCAAGCUUACCCACAAAUCAGUGCUGUUAGCGCAGCAAUCCAGUUAUUUUCUAGUUGGUCUUGUGCUAGCGAAAGCCAGAGCUUGCACAGUCAAGCUGGUUGUUUUCCCUGUAUAAUUUACUUAGUUACUUUUAAAAUCGACAUCAACUAUACACAACGGAGUGAUCUGGCAGCCAAAAUUCUCUCAAUCUUCCACUUUUAACAAAGCCAACCUCGUGGCUGUUUGUUUACAAACUGUAAGUCACUUGCCAGCACAAGUUUUGCAUCUCCGAUGUCUUUCUCAAUCUCUUUUGGUAUUUUUUUUUUUCCUCUUGUAAGUCUGCAUGAACAUAUAUAAUGUAGUUUUGGUAGCUUUUCAGAUGUUCAGCACAUCUUUUGGUUUCAGUUUAUUUAUUGCUUAAUUACAGCAUAGCUAAUCCUAGCAGUAGCACUAUAUUAGCCUUGUUUUCUCUCUUUCCCGGCCGGCAAAGAAAUGAUUGUGCUCAUGCACAGCAGAAAAGUUAUUGGAGCUCUGCAGGAGCUCUGCAAGAGCCCUGACGUGUGAUGUCUUUUCUUGACAAUAUGCAAUAUUAUAUGGCAUGCUCAUUCUCCUUGGGGAGAGUGACAUAAUACAUAAGUGAUAUGAUAAUUGCAUGCUAUCAAUAAGCCCACUAGAAGGGAAUAGAAUACAUGUUUUUAUUUCAUGGAAAAAGUGGCCCAUAUGUAUAAGUCAGCAAUAUUGCUUACUACUUGUAUUUUUUUUUUUUUUUCAGCCAUGUCAUUUUGAUUUUGCAGUUUUCUGUCCCAACAUCACUGAGGCCAUUGCGGACUGCAAUGCAGACCAACAGAACUUCAAUGUGUCUGUAGAGCACAUGCUCACACGCUGCUUGGACAAUCAGCAGAGCUGGCGCAUCCUCAAUGGUAUCGUGGAAGAGGGGCCAAAGUCAGAGCUUCUAAUUGGGGGUGAUGUUCAUCUGCCUCUGCGAACAGAGAGGCGUGGUGCCUCACUGGUUUUCCCCUGCAUCUUGAGUGCUCUUCAGUGGAUUACACAAGGACGUGAUCCACUUGUGUCAGAUUCCAAGAAGCACAUCAUGCCUGUCAAAGCUAGCGUUGAUGCGAAAGCAGUGCCAUUACGAGAAGCUGAUGAUGUGCAUGUGCUAAUUACAGGCAGCUUGCACUUGGUAGGAGGCGCCCUAAAGCAUCUAGUACCUGCCCUGUCAUCCUAAGACGAGAUUUUGUGUAUGUGACAGUGGGUGACUUGGAGGUCUCUGUUUUUGCACAAUCACUGUAUUAUGAAAAUUGGUGCAGCUAAAUUAAACUUUAAACUUUAGAAACUUACUGAAUAUACCUGCUAAUUACUAAGCAGAAAAUUGAAGCACUUAAAAAUUCACCUGUGUCUUGCUUCUGUAGGAAUGUUCACAGAGCCUAGUUUAGCCAAUUUAAACCUAGUCUUAGUCUCCUAUCAAUUGUCUUAAAUAUCAGACAUUUCUGGGACUGAGGUUAAUCUGUCCAGGAAACCCAAUGCUGGCAUCUUCAUAUAUAGUCUAGAUUAACACUGAAUUUUAUUAUUGGCCUGCAGCCAAAAUUGCAUCCUUUAUGCAAUCAAAUGUGCAAUGUUUGUUUAUGCAUUUUUAUAUACUGCUCUGUUCCCAAUUUGCAUUUUGUGCUAUCAAUCAUGGUGUUUGGAUUUGAUUUGCUGUUUGUGAAACACUGGGGGGGGACCAGGGCUGCAGGAAGGAAAAAAAAAUACUACGUUUGACAAUAUGCAGAGCUUAAUUUUAUUCACCUCUUGAACCAGACCCUCUGGGGGAAACUUUCUGGCAAGCUUUCUAUUGUCUGUCUAAUGUGACUGAGUAAGCAAGCUAACUGCUUGAAAGCAACAUUUUCUUGAUUUGGGAGAGACACUAUUAUUUAUGCUACAGUUCACAAAAUCCAUUUUAUCAGUUCUUGGGUUUGUUGCAUCCUAGAACGAUCAGGAAAGUGAUCUGGACAUGCUUUUAUGGGCUACUGAAUAGCAGGGAUACACUUGUAGGGCUUCUAGGAGUCAAAAUGGGGUCUUUGGAGGCACCAUAGGUGCUAAAAAUGGCAACUGGACUUGCUUGAAAUUCUUGAAGACAUUUUACCUCUCAUUUGAAAGGCUUCAGUUUUGUUUGACUAGUGGGGAGUUCCAGGUGUUUAUCUUCUAUUGGACCAAAAGUAACCCUAAGGAAAGUCGUUGAGGUCACAUGAGUCAUCCUGUAGAUGUUAGGGUUACUGGAGGCUGGGUGUGAACGGUGUUAGCAGCUUAGAGUUGUUCGGGUGAUCGUUACGACUCUCCUUAGGGUUGCUUUUAGUCCACAGGAUAAAUACCUGCAACUCCCCGCUAGUCAGACAGAACUGAAGAAGCCUUUCGGAUGAGAGGCACAAAAUGUCCAAGAAUUUUAAGCAAGUCUGGUUGCCUUCUUUAGCACCUACAGUUCACUAUGACCUGGAUGAAUGGGAACCUUCACAGGUCUUUUGAAGCAGCAUUUCAUCAUAAAAGUUAAAU